AGCAAAGUCAAAACUUGGAUUUACUGGGAACAUGCACACGGAAGUCUUCAAGGAUUCACCUCGAUCUGAGUGGUUCCAGUAUAGUCCAGGGAUGAAGACAGUCCAGAGAAUGCGGGUAGGACUUGGAUCAUGGAAGAUAGUGGAGAGGCGAACUGGGGGAGUGAAGAAGGUCUGGAGAAAGAGGAAACAUGGACAAGAGACCAAAGUAUCCUGGACGAUAUUUUAAGCAAGAUUUUCUUUAAUUCCACCUCUUUUGUAAUCUGGCAUUCCAUUUUCAAGAAGGUGACAUCCUCCACCAUCCCCUCUCCGGUCAGUGCUGAACAAAAGGCAGGUCCUUGGGAAACCCUCCAGCCCCAUCUCCUGCCCUGGCUGGGUGUGUUCCAGGUGAACCGUUUGGCUGGGCCACUCUGAACUAUUUGUGAGGCUUCUGCACCUGCUGUUCCUUCUGCUUCGAAGAUCCUCCCUCAAUCUCGUCAGCUCAUUGCUUCUACGUCUUGGAAGACUUACCUGACCUCCCAGGCACGAAUCAGGUAAGCUCAGCCCCUCGGCCCCAGGGGCUGCUCCCUCCACUGCAGCAGACCCAGAGCUUUUGUU
rnacentral:lncRNA from 1 species